rnacentral:rRNA from 1 species
CAGUCGCCACGGUAAUACAGAGGAUGCAAGCGUUAUCCGGAAUGAUUGGGCGUAAAGCGUCUGUAGGUGGCUUUUCAAGUCCGCCGUCAAAUCCCAGGGCUCAACCCUGGACAGGCGGUGGAAACUACCAAGCUGGAGUACGGUGGGGGCAGAGGGAAUUUCCGGUGUAGCGGUGAAAUGCGUAGAUAUGUGCAGGAAUGCCGAUGAUGAAGAUAGUCCACUGGACGGAAACUGACGCUGAAGUGCGAAAGCCGGGGGAGCGAACAGGAUUAGAUACCCCAGUAGUCCCUGUCUCUUAUAC